rnacentral:rRNA from 1 species
GACGAACGCUGGCGGCGUGCUUAACACAUGCAAGUCGAACGGAAAGGCCCUGCUUUUGUGGGGUGCUCGAGUGGCGAACGGGUGAGUAACACGUGAGUAACCUGCCCUUGACUUUGGGAUAACUUCAGGAAACUGGGGCUAAUACCGGAUAGGAGCUCCUGUUGCAUGGUGGGGGUUGGAAAGUUUCGGCGGUUGGGGAUGGACUCGCGGCUUAUCAGCUUGUUGGUGGGGUAGUGGCUUACCAAGGCUUUGACGGGUAGCCGGCCUGAGAGGGUGACCGGCCACAUUGGGCCUGAGAUACGGCCCAGACUCCUACGGGAGGCAGAAGUGGGGAAUAUUGCACAAUGGGCGGAAGCCUGAUGCAGCAACGCCGCGUGCGGGAUGACGGCCUUCGGGUUGUAAACCGCUUUCGCCUGUGACGAAGCGUGAGUGACGGUAAUGGGUAAAGAAGCACCGGCUAACUACGUG